CUCCUAGGAAGUCCUCGUGUUGCACCCC
rnacentral:rRNA from 2 species